UGCAGGCAGGAAGACUUGGGAGGAUACUAAUGAGGAGAGAGCAAUUGUACUUUACAAGCCUGAUGCACAACCACCUCAAGCAAAUGGAAGCACCACAUUGGAAGGAAGCUCAAAAGUUCAUCUUCUGAAAGUCCUAGAGACACGUAAGUCAGCAUUGCAGAAAGAGCAAGGCAUGGCAUUUGCUCAUGUUGUUGCUGCUGGUUU